AGUGAACGCUGGCGGUAGGCCUAACACAUGCAAGUCGAACGGCAGCACAGUAAGAGCUUGCUCUUACGGGUGGCGAGUGGCGGACGGGUGAGGAAUACAUCGGAAUCUACUUUUUCGUGGGGGAUAACGUAGGGAAACUUACGCUAAUACCGCAUACGACCUACGGGUGAAAGCAGGGGAUCUUCGGACCUUGCGCGAUUGAAUGAGCCGAUGUCGGAUUAGCUAGUUGGCGGGGUAAAGGCCCACCAAGGCGACGAUCCGUAGCUGGUCUGAGAGGAUGAUCAGCCGCACUGGAGCGGGGACGCGGUCCAGACUCCUACGGGAGGGAGCAGUGGGGAAUAUUGGGCAAUGGGCGGGAACCUGAUCCAGCCGUACCGCGUGGGUGAAGAAGGCCUUCGGGUUGUGAAGCCCUUUUGUUGGGAAAGAAAAGCAGCAGGUUAAUACCCCGCUGUUCUGACGGUACCCAAAGAAUAAGCACCGGCUAACUUCGUG
rnacentral:rRNA from 1 species